CGCAUCUGUGCAUGCAGCAUAUCAAUAAGCGGAGGAAAAGAAACUAACAAGGAUUCCCCUAGUAACGGCGAGUGAAGCGGGAAGAGCUCAAAUUUGAAAUCUUAAAGGGUUUCCCUUUACGAAUUGUAGUUUAAAGAAGUGUUUUCUGUUGAGGUUUUGGUAAAAGUUCUUUGGAAUAGGACAUCAUAGAGGGUGAGAAUCCCGUAUUUGACCUUUACUUUCAACUUUGUGAUACACUUUCAAAGAGUCGGAUUGUUUGGGAAUGCAGUCCAAAAUGGGUGGUAAAUUUCAUCUAAAGCUAAAUAUUGGCGAGAGACCGAUAGCGAACAAGUACCGUGAGGGAAAGAUGAAAAGAACUUUGAAAAGAGAGUUAAACAGUACGUGAAAUUGUCAAAAGGGGAGCGUUUGACACCAGUGUUGUUUUUCUGAAAAUCAAUUAAAGAACUGUUUAUGCUAAGUUGUUUAGACUUUAUCAGCUAACUGUUUAGUUUUGAGCUUUUCUUUAAUGCACUUUUCAGUUAACAAGUCAACAUCAAUUUCUUUUGCUGUAAAAAAGCUUGAGGAAGGUGGCUUGAGAUUCGUCUUAAGUGUUUAUAGCCUCUCGCCUAUGCAGUCGGAGAGAUUGAGGUCUGCAGCGUAGAUCCUUCGGGGCUAAAUGCAUUUGUGCUAAGUUAUAGCAUUUUAUAGACAACUUGUUGACUAUGAUUUGUCUUGUAGCUUACUCGCUUAUGUUAUUUUACCUACGCUUAGGAUGUUGAAUCUGUGCGAGACUAC
rnacentral:rRNA from 1 species